rnacentral:rRNA from 1 species
UACGGGGGGGGUAAGCGUUGUUCGGAAUUACUGGGCGUAAAGGGCUCGUAGGCGGCCAACUAAGUCAUACGUGAAAUCCCUCAGCUUAACUGGGGAACUGCGUGUGAUACUGGAUGGCUUGGAUUUGGCAGAGGGGGGUGGAAUUCCAGGUGUAGCAGUGAAAUGCGUAGAUAUCUGGAGGAACACCGAUGGCGAAGGCAGCCCCCUGGGCUAACACUGACGCUCAUGCACGAAAGCGUGGGGAGCAAACAGG